AUCUGAGUGCAAGGGCUUUACGCGUAUCAGUGAGGAUUCGUCCGAGAUCGUGUUUUUGCUAGUUGAAAACUAUAACCUAUGACCACUCCUAGUUGGCUUCGGCUGGCUAGGGAAUUUUUGACACGUUUCUCUCGAUGGAC
rnacentral:snRNA from 2 species